UCCGCGCGGGAGAGCGGCGGCUGCUCCAGCAUCCGGAGCCAGGGAGAGGAGGCGGCGGACGGUAGCAGCAGCAGCGGGGCCUCCGAGAGCUCCCGGCCCCGCUCCGCGCCACGCCACAGGACCCGGGCCUUUCCUUCAUGCCGGGAAGAGACCUGACCCACCCCCAAGUGACUUUUACCAUUGACCAUUUACCUACCAGAUGGGCUCAGCUUUCCCAGAGUGCCCAAUCAGGAUCCAUUGUGCUAGGUGCUGCACAAACAUAUAUCGAGAGACAAUCCUGCUUUGAAGAGCUUGAAAGCUGUGGCAGAACCGGGAAGUGAAUCCUGAUCUUUUCAGUUUCAGUGCUUUAACCACAAGACCUUUGGAAACGGGAGGUCAAAUACCCUCUCUCCCCCCCCCCCCCCCGGAGACAAGUGUAUGUGGACAAAACCUCUAAGGUCACCACCCUCCUAAUGAAAUAAUGUUUCCUAACUGUCAUUAAUUUUGGAAAUUUCCUGCCUCCCAUGCAAACCAACUUUAGUACAAAAUAAUGAUAAAGUAAAGAAUCAUACUACAAGUUGAAACAAACAGUAAUCCUACAUAAUGGUCUGGAAAUUAGAAAGAGAAAAUUACCUGCAUUAUUCAGCAUGACAGUUCUUGAAACCAACCAAGGAAAGAUGAAGCUUGCUGAGUGCCUGAACUAUUGCUAAGUAAUUCAGUGAAUCUUUUUAAUUUAGUUCACAUAUAUUUCAGGAGAAUUC